CUAAGGUAGCAUAAUCAUUUGUUAUUUAAUUGGUAGCUAGAAUGAAAGGUUAAACUAGCUUGUUAGGUUUGUUAAGUUAUAUAGAAGUGUAAAGUUAAGGUAAGAAUUCUUUAAUUUUCUAGGGGACGAUAAGACCCUAGAAGCUUAACAAUAAGGGAGAUUAGUUUUAGAAAUUUAUUUGUUUUACUGGGGCGGUAGAGAUAAAUAAGCUAUCUGUUAUUUAAAUGAUCCUAACGAUAUAGAUAAAAUGGGCAAGUUACUCUAGGGAUAA
rnacentral:rRNA from 1 species